rnacentral:rRNA from 1 species
UACGUAGGUGGCAAGCGUUGCCCGGAUUUACUGGGCGUAAAGAGCGCGCAGGCGGUCGAAUAAGUCGAAUGUGAAAGCCCCCGGCUCAACUGGGGAGGGUCAUUCGAUACUGCUCGACUUGAAGGCAGGAGAGGGUAGUGGAAUUCCCGGUGUAGUGGUGAAAUGCGUAGAUAUCGGGAAGAACACCGGUGGCGUAAGCGGCUUGCUGGGCUUUAACUGACGCUGAGGAACGAAAGCUAGGGGAGCGAAUGGG